CAAGAGAAGAGGGCGCCAACCGAGGAAGCCACCGGCAGCUCCCGGCACGCACAGCCAGGAAAAGGCGCGCUGCGAGGAUGGCUUAGGCUUGUCACGAGCACCUGUAUAAUCAAGGCACUUCCUCUCCCCCACAGCGCUGAACCCGGAGGCAGGGUCCCCGCCUGGCGUGGGGCAGUGGGUAAGAAAACGCGGAGGACACAAGAUAUCUGCAUUUUGGCAAGAAGGCAAUUUAAAAGUUAAUUCACAGUCACAGACUAUCAAGGACCAGCUCAGAUGGGGCAUUAACUGAGAACGAGCCGAAGGUGGACCGUCACCAUGAGGAGGUGUGCUGAAAGAGACUGGGGCUUGUCUAAGCCAGACUUCCGGAAAACAGGUACUUCAUCAAAAGAACUGACAGCAUUCUGCAAAGCUGGCAACACCUCCUGGAAGCCAGGUCAGAGUUUUAGAGGCAUCUCCAUCAUGCAUAUGGAAUUUUUAAAGCAUCUUACUCAGUUUCUUUAGCUGGAAAUUUGUUCCCUGUACCAGAAAGGCACCCUGAGGGAAGGGGCUGCCUACCAGAGAAAAGGUGGAGCCUGAAGAGCUCUGACCAGGAAGAAGACGACGACAGAACAGACCAGGAGCAGCCCAACCACAGAGGCUACGGUGAU